rnacentral:misc_RNA from 1 species
GUGUCCCCAAUCGUCUAGAGGCCUAGGACACUGCCCUUUCACGGCUGUAACAGGGGUUCGAAUCCCCUUGGGGACGCCACUCCGAUAAUGUGUGAAAGACAUUAUCAACCGGUUCUUUAUGAACUCAAAAAUAACUUAAAGAUGACUUUAACAAGUCGUGUUUAAGAUAUUGCUCUUUAACAAUCUGGAACAAGCUGAAAAUUGAAACAAUACAGCUGAAACUUAUCUCUCCGUAGAAGUACUGAGAUAAGGAUUAACCUGUAUUAGAGUCUCUCAAAUAAUCGCAA